rnacentral:rRNA from 1 species
GAUGAACGCUGGCGGCGUGCCUAAUACAUGCAAGUCGAGCGAACAGACGAGGAGCUUGCUCCUCUGACGUUAGCGUCGGACGGGUGAGUAGCACGUGGAUAACCUACCUAUAAGACUGGGAUAACUUCGGGAAACCGGAGCUAAUACCGGAUAACAUGUUGAACCGCAUGGUUCAACAGUGAAAGACGGUCUUGCUGUCACUUAUAGAUGGAUCCGCGCCGCAUUAGCUAGUUGGUAAGGUAACGGCUUACCAAGGCAACGAUGCGUAGCCGACCUGAGCGGGUGGUCGGCCACACUGGAACUGAGACACGGUCCAGACUCCUACGGGAGGCAGCAGUAGGGAAUCUUCCGCAAUGGGCGAAAGCCUGACGGAGCAACGCCGCGUGAGUGAAGAAGGUCUUCGGAUCGUAAAACUCUGUUAUUAGGGAAGAACAAAUGUGUAAGUAACUAUGCACGUCUUGACGGUACCUAAUCAGAAAGCCACGGCUAACUACGUG